AACCCAUGGUGAGGGCACUCUCUUCGGUACUCCUUGUACCUCUCCCAAGCUUCGCAGAAAGCCUCACCAGGUUCCUGUUUAAACGACGAGAUCUUGUUCUUCAGAGC
rnacentral:snoRNA from 1 species